UACGUAGGGGGCAAGCGUUGUCCGGAAUUAUUGGGCGUAAAGAGCGUGUAGGCGGCCAGGUAGGUCUGCUGUGAAAACUCGAGGCUCAACCUCGAGACGUCGGCGGAAACCAUCUGGCUAGAGUCCGGAAGAGGAGAAUGGAAUUCCCGGUGUAGCGGUGAAAUGCGCAGAUAUCGGGAAGAACACCCGUGGCGAAGGCGGUUCUCUGGGACGGUACUGACGCUGAGACGCGAAAGCGUGGGGAGCGAACAGG
rnacentral:rRNA from 1 species